GAAAGCAGCCCCGGCAACCCCUAAUUCUUGACUUUGACCAACAAUUCACUUUCAUGUCCCUGUCCCAGAAGAGAUGUUUAAAAAAAUGAUGAAGAGAGAUCUUGGGGUGGGAAAGGGGAGAAAAAAAAAACAUCUGAAGAAAUGCUACCUGACAAGGCUGCGGGCUACAUUCUUGAGAACACCUUUCUUUUCUUUAUGUUCUCCUUCUUCUGUUAAAUAAAAAUGCAGCUCCUUUUUUCCCUCUCCUUUCUUCCAAAACUCUCCCGAGCCGUUCCUGCAAGUGGUUCUGUGACUCGGAAGCUGACAACAGCCGCAUGCAAAGGAACAAAGCACGAUAGUGACAAUUCAGAGUGCAAGCAGAUGCAAGCCUACAAGUAGGAUUUAAAAGUUUGAUGUCUCUUUCUCCCCGGAACAGAGAAUCCUAUUUCUCAGUAACUGCUUUAUGCACAAGGUGGGCACCAUUUGAAAAUUUGUCUUUGCUCAAGGGCUCUGUUUCCCACUUUCAGGAUAGUAAUCCUGGAAAUUAUCAAGUAAUCCUGAAAGGAGACCAUGUAAAUCAUUGCUUUCUUCCAGCUCAGUUGUAGCCAAAGUCUUCAGUGGGUCACUUUGGAUCUUACAGUCUUACAGAAUACACUUGAAUAUAGAUAAAAGUGUUAAUUAAUGCUACUGCUAUGUUUUUUGCUGUUCACAUAGAUUACACAAUGACUUUGCGAUCAUUCCUGUUGCCCUUCUAAAAAUUUUUUAUGGCAGUAGUGACAGACAACUGCAGAAUUUACUUAUCCUAGCCUGGAAGAAAGCUGUCUUUCAGAAUGUGAAACUUGGGGGAGAUAUUUUCACUCAGCUGGAAACUUUAUGGGGUAGAUUUCAUCCAUGGUCCAGAAGUAAAUGUCAGCUCCCGUGAGAUUUCAGAACUUGAUUUGUGUUCAGCCCCAGGAGUCAGGUGAUGAACCAGAACUUCAAACUCAGAAACCAAACACCUUGUGCUUCUGAGAGGUUGGAUUUGUUUUUAUUUCUCUUUCUUUUUUUUUUUUUUUUUUUUGCUUUUUUCUUUAAUUUUGAUGGAUGAUGUUUUGUUCUGCAGUGAGUUUUAAUGUGUGUUGCUGUGAAACAAUUUCAAUUGUCGAAAACAACAACAAAAAGCAGUAUUUCAAUAUUUCUCAAGAAAAGGCUUCAAAGGUUUCAGAUCUUUUUAAAAUGUUUCUGCUUUAUUUUGACGUGGCAUAAAAGUUUUGUAUGCAUUCUCGCAUCUGCUAUUGUGACAGCUGUAUUUAAUGAGUGCAAAAUGAUCAGAAAAACAUCCUUUACUGUGGGUUGCCAUUGCCAGAAGAUGACAGGAAAGAGGCAGUGCUGUAAUAAGAGAAGUGAUGAAGUAGUUCGUACUGCUACUGAUGAGGUAUUUCUAACUCAAAUGCCUAGGUGUGCCUUUUGAAAAUAAUGCAUUGGUCACAUUGCCUGAUAGUUUCAUCAGAUUAUGUUUCUGAGAGCAUUUUGAAAUAAAAUUGUGCAUCUCUAGCC
rnacentral:lncRNA from 7 species